rnacentral:rRNA from 1 species
UACAGAGGGUGCAAGCGUUAAUCGGAAUUACUGGGCGUAAAGUGCGCGUAGGUGGUUUGUUAAGUUGGAUGUGAAGCCCCGGGCUCAACCUGGGAACUGCAUUCAAAACUGACAAGCUAGAGUAUGGUAGAGGGUGGUGGAAUUUCCUGUGUAGCGGUGAAAUGCGUAGAUAUAGGAAGGAACACCAGUGGCGAAGGCGACCACCUGGACUGACACUGACACUGAGGUGCGAAAGCGUGGGGAGCAAACAGG